UCCCAGUCUAACGUAUGACCGGAGCAGCCAC
rnacentral:piRNA from 1 species